AUGACUGGACAUAGUUUGGGUGGUGCAUUUGCUAUCUUGCUUGCCCUUGAACUUUCAUCAAAUCAAUUAGCUAAGUUGCUGCUCCUAUUAAUGAAAGUUAUCUUGAUUUUGCACUCUAACUUUUUAAGGUUUUGCACUCCUUUGAAUUCUUGCAAACUAUACCACCAAAAAAGUCCAAGAAGAAGAAUUGUGGGAAAGGUUAUAUAUCUACUCAACUUGAAGUCACUCAACCUUAACCCACUCAACCCCAACCCACUCAACCUCAACCUAUUCCGUAAUAAAGAUGGCGUUGAAGAAUCAGAUGAAGAAGACCUUAGUCAUAUAUUCUGA